AUUGAACGCUGGCGGCAGGCCUAACACAUGCAAGUCGAACGAGUGGCGGACGGGUGAGUAAUGUCUGGGAAACUGUCCGAUGGAGGGGGAUAACUACUGGAAACGGUAGCUAAUACCGCAUACCAUCGGAUGUGCCCAGAUGGGAUUAGCUAGUAGGUGGGGUAAUGCCCCACCUAGGCGAAGAGCCCUAGCUGGUCUGAGAGGAUGACCAGCCACACUGGAACUGAGACACGGUCCAGACUCCUACGGGAGGCAGCAGUGGGGAAUAUUGCACAAUGGGCGCAAGCCUGAUGCAGCCAUGCCGCGUGUAUGAAGAAGGCCUUCGGGUUGUAAAGUACUUUCAGAGGGGAGGCGUUAUCUGAAGAAGAAGCACCGGCUAACUCCGUGCCAGCAGCCGCGGUAAUUC
rnacentral:rRNA from 1 species